GCGGCUGCAGGUACUGUUGAGUGAGGUAAGGUAUGGGAGGCUCAGCUCGGUAGCCGGGCAUACUUGGGCGCCUUCAGACAGGUACGGCUGGUGGCCCAGGUCCCCUUACCGGGCAUCCUCCAGCAUUCUGGGCACCUGCCUACCCCUUGGUGGGAAGGCCGGCCACAGGCUGAGCGUGCUCCAGGCUGGGUACUCCUCAGUCAGUCCACGAGCAUCGCGUGGCAGUCUUCCACUUGGCCAGUCCUUCCCACACUUCUGGGCGUGUCAUCAGGUAAAAUCUUCAUCCUGGGACAGGUGAAAGUUUGGAGGACGAUCGAGACUCUUGUAGUAGCCGGGUUAGGGUAGUGACCCCUGAUCUCAGGUGAUCUGCCCGCCUUGGCCUCCCAAAGUGCUCGGAUUACAGGCGUGAGCCACCGCGCCCGGCCUGAAAUUUACGAUUUCUCAGUUAACAUGAGGAAGGUAAAACUAGGUUAGAGGUGGAGGGAGCACUUCUAACCUGGAAGAAUAUUGAAGACUUCAUUGAAGAAGUGUCAUUUGAGAGGAUCUAUGGAAAGAAAGAUUGAAAGGAAACACAUUGAAUGAGGAAAAACUAAUAUACAGUCAUCAACAUCCUUGUAUAACCUAGUUUUUAAAAAAUUGGAUUUCAAAGAAAACAAAAUUAUCUUCCUUUCCAAAUCCAGAAAGAUGAAAACGACUGAGAUACUUUCAAAAGACAACCAAGUGAGCACCACAGACUAAUGAGCAGAAUCAAUAAGAACGUGGUUUUGGCCCUUUUAACCCUGACAAGUUCUGCAUUUCUGCUGUUUCAGUUGUACUACUACAAGCACUAUUUAUCAACAAAGAAUGGAGCUGGUUUGUCAAAAUCCAAAGGAAGCCGAAUUGGAUUUGAUAGCACACAGUGGCGUGCAGUUAAAAAAUUUAUUAUGCUAACAUCCAGCCAAAAUGUACCAGUGUUUCUUAUUGAUCCUUUGGUAUUGGAAUUGAUUAAUAAGAACUUUGAACAAGUCAAAAAUACUUCUCAAGGCUCCAUUUCACAAUGCACGUUUUUCUGUGCUCCAAGAGACUUUACUGCAUUUGCACUGCAGUAUCACCUAUGGAAGAAUGAGGAAGGCUGGUUUCGGAUAGCUGAGAAUAUGGGAUUUCAGUGCCUAAAGAUUGAGAGUAAAGAUCCCCGGCUAGACGGGAUAGACUCACUUUCUGGAACUGAAAUCCCCCUGCACUAUAUCUGCAAAUUGGCCACUCAUGCGAUCCACUUGGUAGUCUUCCAUGAGAGGAGUGGCAACUACCUCUGGCACGGCCACUUGAGGCUUAAAGAACACAUUGACAGGAAAUUUGUUCCCUUCCGAAAGUUACAGUUUGGUCGUUAUCCAGGAGCUUUUGACAGGCCAGAGUUACAGCAAGUUACUGUUGAUGGACUGGAAGUUCUCAUUCCAAAGGAUCCAAUGCACUUUGUAGAAGAAGUACCACACUCUAGGUUUAUUGAGUGUAGAUAUAAAGAAGCUCGAGCAUUCUUUCAGCAGUACCUUGAUGAUAACACUGUGGAAGCCGUGGCCUUUCGGAAGAGUGCAAAGGAAUUACUGCAACUAGCAGCGAAAACAUUAAACAAAUUGGGAGUACCAUUCUGGCUGAGCAGUGGGACUUGUCUAGGAUGGUAUCGACAAUGCAACAUUAUUCCUUAUAGCAAAGAUGUUGACCUAGGAAUUUUUAUACAAGAUUACAAAUCUGAUAUUAUUUUAGCAUUUCAGGAUGCAGGACUUCCGCUCAAACACAAAUUUGGGAAGGUAGAAGACAGCUUGGAACUAUCCUUCCAGGGAAAAGAUGAUGUAAAACUUGACAUUUUUUUCUUCUAUGAAGAAACUGAUCACAUGUGGAACGGAGGCACUCAAGCCAAAACAGGAAAAAAAUUCAACAUCCAAAUCUGCCAGUAAUAAAAGUGACGAAUAUAAUAACUAUGCCUCCAGAAUGUGAAGUUUUUACUCCUCAACUUCACAUUUCCUAAAGAUGCUGCCUAGAUUUUUUUGGUUUUUCUUUCCCAUUUUGAAUCAACUGGAAUGGGUAGAAACCAGAAGUUUGAAAGGUACCUGUUUCCCAAGUUUACAUUGUGCUGGACUGAGUUUGUAGACAUGAAGGUCCAUGUGCCCUGUGAAACCCUCGAAUACAUUGAAGCCAACUAUGGUAAGACCUGGAAGAUUCCUGUAAAGACGUGGGACUGGAAGCGCUCUCCUCCCAAUGUGCAACCCAAUGGAAUCUGGCCUAUUUCUGAGUGGGAUGAGGUUAUCCAGUUAUAUUGAGAUACUAGGUUGAAAUGGGAGAAUUCCUCUCUUGGAAAAAAAGGUAGAUAACUGUUUAAAAAGAUACAUGUCUGUUUGUCAAAUGUAACUGGGAACCAAAGAAAAAAGUGACAAGUUUGAAGACACGGAAAGGGUCCUAACUCCAGAGCCAUCUGAUUUAAUUCUCUCAUUUAGCACUGAGGAAUUUUCAUGUGCCACAUACAAUGCUGGGUUACAGUGGAGAAGCCUAGAUGAAUGAGACAAAUACCUGCUUCUUUUAUUCCUCCCUUUGGUAAACAACUCAAUUUUUCCUCUGAGGGAACCCUCCCCCACCCUUGGAAGAGUUCAAGUUCUGUAAAGGUUUUAAAAAUGUUAACUAAUGUUUGCACUGGAGGAUGAGCUCACCAGGCAAAGCAAAAUAUGGAUAUACUAGUCAAAAAGAAUAACCUAUUCCUGUUCUGGGCAUUUAAACUGGUAUGUUAGUGCUACUUUUAAGAUUGUGGAGUCUGAGUUAAUACUCAAGUGAUCAGACUUUGAGUGGCAUCAAGAAAAGAUGAUAUCAGGUUCAUUUUUCAACUAAUCUUAUGUGGAAUUGAAUUAGAGAACAAGGCAUUACUCUUUUAGGGAAGGUGAGAGCUUAUUUAUAUCAGAGCUUUUAUUACUUGUCAGGAUAAGUAAAUUUCUAUACCUGUACUGCUUUCAUAUUUGAAGUGAGAAGAAAGUUUAUGCUUGUGUAAUGCUUAAAUUUCGAUCCAUCGUGAGAAUAUUUUCACCGACAUCUGAUGGCACUUGUUGACAAAUCAUUCAAGUGAGACCAUGCUACUAGAUAUGAUUUUGAAAGAGUCCAUGAUUUCACAAAACUCAUUUUUAUUUUAUUCUCAGUCACUCUGUUAGGUAAAAAUAUGAGAAAUUCAUGUACAUUUUAUAUUUUCUGAAUUUAUAAUCCUUGCACUUCCAAUUUUAAUGACAAUCAAAUAUUAAUAGAAUUGUUUUAAUGUACUCUAAUUUUUAAAACAUACUCUUUAUUAUCUUCAGUCAUCAAUUACAGCUUCAUUAAUUUUUGGUCUAUAUACCAAUUUAAGUGGCAUGUAAACCUACCUGUUUCUUCUCCUCUUCCUAUAUAUCGAUCUCCAAAAUGGAAGCUAAAUGGUGGACUUGCUCCUUAACUAUUCACCCUACCUCAGAUCAUAGAAUUUGUAAAGUUUGUGUUCAUCCCUGGUUUUUCAGUUUGUUGAAUGUCGAUGGGGCAAGAACUCAGACUUCUACUUUAUCAAGUACCACACACUCUGGAACCCUUCAGUUUCCUUUUCCCCUCAAGAUGUCUGAGUCAGAUGGGAUACUGUUUACCCCAUCUCUUCACCAGUCACUUGAAUGAUAUAUUCUAAGUGAGAGGUAAAGGAAAAUGUAGGCACAAUAAACACUGCUAUUUUUCUCUUUGUCUGGGAAAGGAAGCUGAAUCUUGUAUCUUAUCUAUGCUAUUUAGGACUACUUCCUGGAGCUUGGCAGAUUUUCCUCUGAAACCAGAGAACAAUAGGAGUCUCAAAAAUGGAAACCUGAACUUCUGAGGGAAUGGGCUGAUAGACUUUUCCAGAAACAAAUUAGGGAAAGUAACUUACAACCACCCCAUUCCAAAUUUUUCAAGCAACAUGAAAACCUUCUUUGAUAAAUAAUAACCAACAGUCUUCCUGACUUAAGUUGCAUUCUCAGUGCAGAAUUAUCGGGUUUUUCUUAAAUAACAUGAGCAGGUUUCUGGGGACCUUUAAGAUUAUCAGCGGACUCAUCCCAAAAUGGCACAUCAUCAUCAUCAUCAUCAAUUUUCUCUUUGCUGGAAAAUCAGCCCAUAGAGUGCAUUCCCAAAUUCUAAAUAGCUGACCCUACAUUCAUUUUUCAUGCUCAAACAUAAUAUAACAAAUAAUAACAGUAUUUUUGGGCAAAAUCCACCCUAUUUGAUGAGGACCAUUUGCUUGUGCUCAGUAUCUAGAAAUGCAUACACUCCACAUUUCUACCCAUUUCAAAUUGGGACACCCAUUCUUUGCCAGGAGAUCUUACCCAUCCAUUUACAGAUUAAUCUUUUAUCCUUUCCUGGAGUACAAAGUCUUAGAGUGUCUGAAAUCUAAGACAUCUUGGCCCCAUUGACACAGGGUCUGUAUUCUUCCCUACAUAGACCGCUGGCUGCUCAAAUAGUUGUCUUCUGGUUUCACAGGCUUCAGCUCAUGGAUUCCGCCCUAACUUUGGGUAACAAAAGCCUUCCCCUAGAAUGUGAAGGCCAGACUUAUGUCUGAUUCUGAUUCAUCCAUACUUCAUCUUAUGUUUUUUAACAGUUGGAUUCUGCUAAGUGUCCAGAGACCUUGGGUUAAGUAUAUCCAUCUUCAGUACCUCGUUGGAUCACUUUUCUUUCCUCGCUUGAGUAUUCUAGCAGUCAUUCUCCUAAUCUGACCACUUUCAGGUUUAGUUUACCUGGCUUACCUGGGGAAGCUGACAACUUGUUGGUAGUUAGGCACCCAUGGAUGUCUCCAGAGACAUCCUGAGAGGCGAGAUUCCUCUUAAUUGACAACCAGGACAACCAGGUAGUCAACCAGUCCCUCUCUAAGCAGGGAGCACUUUUCCUUCUCUCCUCUGCUGCAGCUACUGAUAUCUGGCCCCUGGAAUAAAACCAUAGUUCCUAAAAUUGAGCAUCCCUAAGAGUAGCUGCUUGGUGGGACAUCUGAUUUUUUUGAUUCCCUAGCUGCAAAACCUGAAAUAUGACCACUAGGUGACAGAAUGUUUGCCCGUAUCCCCACAAAACAAGUUAAAACUUAAGUGAAAGUAAUUCUGCUUUUGAAUCUUGAAAGAGACCAUAUGUAAUAUUCAUUUUAAACCCUCUUAUUUUAUAACUAAAUAAAUAAUGGCAGAAAGGAAUGAUCUAGACAAGAACAGCUGAGGCUAAAACCCAAGACUGCCAUGACUUCUAGUCCAACGUCUGUUUUGCAUCACAACACAGUAUCUUUAACAGUGCUUGAGAUGCUUAACAGAGAAUCCAUCCAGUGCUUCACUGAGUCCAAGUCUUAGGGUAUUUCUGCCACUUAGUAUCUUUUUGUUCAGAUUGAGAACCUAAGGCGACAGAGAGGUCAAGGGGAAGUAUUUUCUUGUUCAGAAUUCUCAGGCAACCGUCAUACCUUUAUCUGGAAAAUGCCUUCUCUCCAGACAAUAAGAUAGUUCACAUCUGGAGACAUCAGCCUUUGGUACCUAAUUCUCUAAGCUCAAGAUGCAUCCCAUUGCCACUUUACCAUUCUGUUUCCCAAAGGAAGCAUCAGCACCAACCUGCUAAAUGCCUGUAUUUGAAGAGUCUCUCCCCUUCCUACAGUGACCUUUCAUGAGGCCCUUUCCUUCCUAAGGGACCUUUACCUGGUAGUAGUGGUCUCAUUCACAAAAAAGAAUAACAUAUAUAACUGGAGUACUUUGCAGUUUUCAGGAUUUUUUUAAUCUGCUUGGCUGGAAAGGAGACUAGAGUAUCUAGUUAUUAGUAUAAACUACUUUUAAUUAUAUUGAUACUCUGAUAAAUGCAAGUAGUUAAGAAUAGAUUGUACUCAUUCCUUUUUAAAUUUGUGACGUCAAAACAUUGUUUUUAUUCUUACACAACUACAGUACUUCAGAUGGCACGUAGAUAGGCAGGAUAUUACAUAGGUAAGCAGGAAUUUAUACAUUGGGUACCAGAGCUAAAUCUGGAAAACACAUUUGGAAUGAGCUUCCACACUUCAGUCUAAAAUCUCACCCAAACUUAUGGCUACACAUUUUUCUGUUUCCCCCUGGUUUCACCUUCUGGAAGGUGAACAGUUUUUUAAAUCCUAAAUGUUAUAAAUCCUUAGGAGAAAUAUUCCCUCAAAACCUAGUCAGAGAAAGCGCCACAUUCCUACCUUCUAACAGGUAAUUAUUAGUUGUAACAGCUUUAAUGCAUGGAAAAACUUCAGUUACCAACCAGUCAAGAGACUUUCUCAAGAAAAGUCCCAGCAACUAUCCCUCCUUCCUCCUUGUCUUACAUCAUCAUUAAGACCUGGGCUAGAUCACCUAUAACAUCUCACUUAGGGAAGGCAAUGUGUUGCCAUGAAAAGACCACAAGCUUUUGAGUGAGGCCUGAAUUUGAAUUUCAGCUUAAUAUGGUGGGGACCCUUUCAGUCUCAGCUUCCACAUUAGUGAGCUGGGGAAAUGAUACAUACUUCUAAGGGUUUUUAGGGGGAUUAAAUGAAGUAUACAGUUCUUAGCCUCAGGCCUAGGAUUAAGUAAGUACUCAAGAAACGUGCAGUUUUUCUACUUCCAUGUUUCUUUUCUAAUCUUCAAAUGGAAUUAUAGAAACCGUGGGUCAGAACACAUUGCUUUACUCAAAAGGUUGCAAGACUGAAUUUGCUUAAGAAAAAAAAAAAAUGCUAUCAAGUCAUUAAAAAUUAAAUUGUAUGGUUUAUGAAUUCAGAGACAUUACCAGUUUGCCUCCUUCUCUCAAUAGAACUUGUAUUUUCAUUUUCUCAGUUAAGCAUUUGUCUCCUAAUCUUAUCCCAUAUGCUAUCUAGUUUGCUGUUCCUAAGCAGUUCACUGUACUUCCCUAGAUUUGGUGCCUACUCUCCCCUGGACUUCUUUUUCAAUAUUCUAGCCUUUCCUAGAUGUAAAUCUUUACCUCCUUGUUAGUGAAAUUAGAUAUAAGCCAUGAUUUGGAAAGGGAAGAAAUCUGGAAUACUUAGUUUCAUUUAAUUGUCUAUGCUGGUGAAUGCCUCUGUCAUUGUUAAUAAAGGAGAAUUGAAAAUACUCAUAUCUACUUUCUGCCCCCAAAUUUCUGUUUCUGUCUCAACUAGGCAAGAAUCAGCAGGGUGCAUGAUGCCAUUUUAAGCUGCUUCACAUCAGACUGAAAUCCUAAUUAUAGUUUAUAAGUGAAACAGACUAAUUCAAUAGUGAUACCUUUUGUAUAGGUCCUGUGCUUAAAGGAGGCAAGUAUAAUUUUCUAACAAGAAAUCCCUGCUUCUGUUGGGUGCAAUGGCUCACGUCUGUAAUACCAGCAGUUUGAGAGGCCAAGGCGGGUGGAUCACUUGAGGCCAGGAGUUCGAGACCAGCCUGGCCAACAUAGCAAAACCCCAUCUCCUUUAAAAAUACAAAAAACUUAGCUAGGCAUGGUGGCAUGCGCCUAUAGUCCCAGCUACUCAGGAGGCCGAGGCAGGAGAAUCACUUGAACCCAGGAGGCAGAGUCUGCAGUGAGCCAAGAUCGCACCAUUGUGCUGCAGCCUGGGGUGAUAGAGCGAGACUCUUGUCUCAAAAAAGGAAAAAAAAAAAAAAGGAAAGAAUAAAUCUCUGCUUCUGCUUCAGUACUAUCAAAACUUCUACCCUACAAUGCCCCCUGGCACCUUCUAACCCAACCUAAUACAGAGAUUAUGUAGGAACCCAUUAACAAGCUGCUAUAUCAUUAUAAGCAGCUCUCACAGUAGGGUUGGAAGAGAGUAUGAGGAAAAUUAGAAGUACUGUAUUUUUGCUAUUAGAAAUGAAAUAUUAUUUCAUGCACCUUUGAAAAACAUAACAGGGUUUUACAGCCUUCUGAUGAUUCAUUCAAAGCAUGGGGAAUAGUUCAUAUGUUUGUUAAAUGAAAAUCUUAUGUAGCUAUUUGUGUGUCCCUCCCACUUCAUAACUAGAAAAACAUAUAUAUGAAUUUCUAAACAAAGUGAUAUUUUAAAGAGGAAUAGAUUCAAUGUGUACUUAGCAGUUUACUAUUUGAUUUUAUCUUCAGGUACAGAUAGUUUGUGGUACUACUUGAAAAUACCUUUAAUAUUAUUUUCAUCAGAAUUUGUAAUAUAUAAUCCAGUUUGGGAUGAUGAAUAAAAUUUUUCUAAUCUCCUGA